UACGUAGGGCGCAAGCGUUGUCCGGAAUUAUUGGGCGUAAAGAGCUCGUAGGCGGUUUGUCGCGUCUGCUGUGAAAACCUAAGGCUCAACCUUGGGCUUGCAGUGGGUACGGGCAGACUAGAGUGCGGUAGGGGUGACUGGAAUUCCUGGUGUAGCGGUGGAAUGCGCAGAUAUCAGGAGGAACACCGAUGGCGAAGGCAGGUCACUGGGCCGCAACUGACGCUGAGGAGCGGAAAGCAUGGGGGAGCGAACAGG
rnacentral:rRNA from 1 species